rnacentral:rRNA from 1 species
UGCAAGUCGAGCGGAGAUGAGGUGCUUGCACCUUAUCUUAGCGGCGGACSGGUGAGUAAUGCUUAGGAAUCUGCCUAUUAGUGGGGGACAACAUUCCGAAAGGAAUGCUAAUACCGCAUACGCCCUACGGGGGAAAGCAGGGGAUCUUCGGACCUUGCGCUAAUAGAUGAGCCUAAGUCGGAUUAGCUAGUUGGUGGGGUAAAGGCCUACCAAGGCGACGAUCUGUAGCGGGUCUGAGAGGAUGAUCCGCCACACUGGGACUGAGACACGGCCCAGACUCCUACGGGAGGCAGCAGUGGGGAAUAUUGGACAAUGGGCGGAAGCCUGAUCCAGCCAUGCCGCGUGUGUGAAGAAGGCCUUUUGGUUGUAAAGCACUUUAAGCGAGGAGGAGGCUACUUAGAUUAAUACUCUAGGAUAGUGGACGUUACUCGCAGAAUAAGCACCGGCUAACUCUGUGCCAGCAGCCGCGGUAAUACAGAGGGUGCGAGCGUUAAUCGGAUUUACUGGGCGUAAAGCGUGCGUAGGCGGCUGAUUAAGUCCGAUGUGAAAUCCCUGAGCUUAACUUAGGAAUUGCAUUCGAUACUGGUCAGCUAGAGUAUGGGAGAGGAUGGUAGAAUUCCAGGUGUAGCGGUGAAAUGCGUAGAGAUCUGGAGGAAUACCGAUGGCGAAGGCAGCCAUCUGGCCUAAUACUGACGCUGAGGUACGAAAGCAUGGGGAGCAAACAGGAUUAGAUACCCUGGUAGUCCAUGCCGUAAACGAUGUCUACUAGCCGUUGGGGCCUUUGAGGCUUUAGUGGCGCAGCUAACGCGAUAAGUAGACCGCCUGGGGAGUACGGUCGCAGACUAAAACUCAAUGAA